rnacentral:rRNA from 1 species
ACACGGACCCCUAGGAGUCUAGCAUGUGCGCGAGUCAUUGGGACGUAACUAAACCUAAAGGCGAAAUGAAAGUGAAGGUCCGCCUCGCGCGGACCCAGGGAGGAUGGGCCCGCCCACGGGGGGCCCCGCACUCCCGGGGCGUCUCGUUCUCAUCGCGAGAGGAGGCGCACCCAGAGCGUACACGCUGGGACCCGAAAGAUGGUGAACUAUGCCUGGUCAGGACGAAGUCAGGGGAAACCCUGAUGGAGGUCCGUAGCGAUUCUGACGUGCAAAUCGAUCGUCGGAACUGGGUAUAGGGGCGAAAGACUAAUCGAACCAUCUAGUAGCUGGUUCCCUCCGAAGUUUCCCUCAGGAUAGCUGGCGCUCGCCGCGCGCGAGUCUCAUCCGGUAAAGCGAAUGAUUAGAGGCAUUGGGGUCGAAACGGCCUCAACCUAUUCUCAAACUUUAAAUGGGUGAGAUCUCCGGCUUGCUCGAACACGUGAAGCCGCGAGAUUUCGGAUCAGAGUGCCAAGUGGGCCACUUUUGGUAAGCAGAACUGGCGCUGUGGGAUGAACCAAACGCAGAGUUAAAGCGCCCAAAUCGACGCUUAUGGGAUACCAUGAAAGGCGUUGGUAACUUAAGACAGCAGGACGGUGGCCAUGGAAGUCGGAAUCC